rnacentral:rRNA from 1 species
GAUAAACGCUGGCGGCGUGCCUAAUACAUGCAAGUCGAGCGAACGGACGAGAAGCUUGCUUCUCUGAUGUUAGCGGCGGACGGGUGAGUAACACGUGGAUAACCUACCUAUAAGACUGGGAUAACUUCGGGAAACCGGAGCUAAUACCGGAUAAUAUUUUGAACCGCAUGGUUCAAAAGUGAAAGACGGUCUUGCUGUCACUUAUAGAUGGAUCCGCGCUGCAUUAGCUAGUUGGUAAGGUAACGGCUUACCAAGGCAACGAUGCAUAGCCGACCUGAGAGGGUGAUCGGCCACACUGGAACUGAGACACGGUCCAGACUCCUACGGGAGGCAGCAGUAGGGAAAUCUUCCGCAUGGGGCGAAGCCCUGACGGAGCACGCCGCGUGAGUGAUGAAGGUCUUCGGAUCGUNAAACUCUGUUAUUAGGGAAGAACAUAUGUGUAAGUAACUGUGCACAUCUUGACGGUACCUAAUCAGAAAGCCACGGCUAACUACGUGCCAGCAGCCGCGGUAAUACGUAGGUGGCAAGCGUUAUCCGGGAUUACUGGGCGUAAAGCGCGCGUAGGCGGUUUUUUAGUCUGAUGUGAAAGCCCACGGCUCAACCGUGGAGGGUCAUUGGAAACUGGAAAACUUGAGUGCAGAAGAGGAAAGUGGAAUUCCAUGUGUAGCGGUGAAAUGCGCAGAGAUAUGGAGGAACACCAGUGGCGAAGGCGACUUUCUGGUCUGUAACUGACGCUGAUGUGCGAAAGCGUGGGGAUCAAACAGGAUUAGAUACCCUGGUAGUCCACGCCGUAAACGAUGAGUGCUAAGUGUUAGGGGGUUUCCGCCCCUUAGUGCUGCAGCUAACGCAUUAAGCACUCCGCCUGGGGAGUACGACCGCAAGGUUGAAACUCAAAGGAAUUGACGGGGACCCGCACAAGCGGUGGAGCAUGUGGUUUAAUUCGAAGCAACGCGAAGAACCUUACCAAAUCUUGACAUCCUUUGACAACUCUAGAGAUAGAGCCUUCCCCUUCGGGGGACAAAGUGACAGGUGGUGCAUGGUUGUCGUCAGCUCGUGUCGUGAGAUGUUGGGUUAAGUCCCGCAACGAGCGCAACCCUUAAGCUUAGUUGCCAUCAUUAAGUUGGGCACUCUAAGUUGACUGCCGGUGACAAACCGGAGGAAGGUGGGGAUGACGUCAAAUCAUCAUGCCCCUUAUGAUUUGGGCUACACACGUGCUACAAUGGACAAUACAAAGGGCAGCGAAACCGCGAGGUCAAGCAAAUCCCAUAAAGUUGUUCUCAGUUCGGAUUGUAGUCUGCAACUCGACUACAUGAAGCUGGAAUCGCUAGUAAUCGUAGAUCAGCAUGCUACGGUGAAUACGUUCCCGGGUCU